CCUACGGGAGGCAGCAGUGGGGAAUAUUGCACAAUGGGCGCAAGCCUGAUGCAGCCAUGCCGCGUGUGUGAAGAAGGCCUUCGGGUUGUAAAGCACUUUCAGCGGGGAGGAAGGCGUUAAGGUUAAUAACCUUGGCGAUUGACGUUACCUGCAGAAGAAGCACCGGCUAACUCCGUGCCAGCAGCCGCGGUAAUACGGAGGGUGCAAGCGUUAAUCGGAAUUACUGGGCGUAAAGCGCACGCAGGCGGUCUGUCAAGUCGGAUGUGAAAUCCCCGGGCUCAACCUGGGAACUGCAUUCGAAACUGGCAGGCUAGAGUCUUGUAGAGGGGGGUAGAAUUCCAGGUGUAGCGGUGAAAUGCGUAGAGAUCUGGAGGAAUACCGGUGGCGAAGGCGGCCCCCUGGACAAAGACUGACGCUCAGGUGCGAAAGCGUGGGGAGCGAACAGGAUUAGAUACCCUGGUAGUC
rnacentral:rRNA from 1 species